rnacentral:rRNA from 1 species
UACGGAGGGUGCAAGCGUUAAUCGGAAUUACUGGGCGUAAAGCGUGCGCAGGCGGUUUGUUAAGUCUGUUGUGAAAUCCCCGAGCUCAACUUGGGAAUUGCAAUGGAUACUGGCAGGCUGGAGUAUGGUAGAGGAAGGUGGAAUUCCCGGUGUAGCAGUGAAAUGCGUAGAGAUCGGGAGGAACACCAGUGGCGAAGGCGGCCUUCUGGACCAAUACUGACGCUCAUGCACGAAAGCGUAGGGAGCAAACAGG